rnacentral:rRNA from 1 species
AGUGAACGCUGGCGGUAGGCCUAACACAUGCAAGUCGAACGGCAGCACAGUAAGAGCUUGCUCUUACGGGUGGCGAGUGGCGGACGGGUGAGGAAUACAUCGGAAUCUACUUUUUCGUGGGGGUUCACGUAGGGAAACUUACGCUAAUACCGCAUACGACCUACGGGUGAAAGCAGUGGAUCUUCGGACCUUGCGCGAAUGAAUGAGCCGAUGUCGGAUUAGCUAGUUGGCGGGGUAAAGGCCCACCAAGGCGACGAUCCGUAGCUGGUCUGAGUGGAUGAUCAGCCACACUGGAACUGAGACACGCACCAGACCCCUACGGGAGGCAGCAGUGGGGAAUAUUGGACAAUGGGCGCAAGCCUGAUCCAGCCAUACCGCGUGUGUGAAGAAGGCGUUCGGGUUGUAAAGCCCUUUUGUUGGUAAUGAAAAGCAGCAGGUUAAUACCCCGCUGUUCUGACGGUACCCAAAGAAUAAGCACCGGCUAACUUCGUG